UACGGAGGGGGCUAGCGUUGUUCGGAAUUACUGGGCGUAAAGCGCGCGUAGGCGGUUUUGCAAGCCAGAGGUGAAAUGCCUGAGCUCAACUUAGGAAUUGCCUUUGGGACUGCGAGGCUUUGAGGACGGGAGAGGUGAGUGGAAUUCCCAGUGUAGAGGUGAAAUGCGUAGAUAUCGGGAGGAACACCAGUGGCGAAGGCGACUACCUGGCCUGUUCUUGACGCUGAGGCGCGAAAGCUAGGGGAGCAAACGGG
rnacentral:rRNA from 1 species